rnacentral:rRNA from 1 species
UGUAGUCAUAUGCUUGUCUCAAAGAUUAAGCCAUGCAUGUCUAAGUAUAAGCAAUCUAUACAGUGAAACUGCGAAUGGCUCAUUAAAUCAGUUAUCGUUUAUUUGAUAGUACCUUACUACUUGGAUAACCGUGGUAAUUCUAGAGCUAAUACAUGCUAAAAAUCCCGACCUCUGGAAGGGAUGUAUUUAUUAGAUAAAAAACCAAUGCCUUCGGGCUCCUUGGUGAUUCAUGAUAACUUUACGAAUCGCAUGGCCUUGUGCCGGCGAUGGUUCAUUCAAAUUUCUGCCCUAUCAACUUUCGAUGGUAGGAUAGUGGCCUACCAUGGUUUCAACGGGUAACGGGGAAUUAGGGUUCUAUUCCGGAGAGGGAGCCUGAGAAACGGCUACCACAUCCAAGGAAGGCAGCAGGCGCGCAAAUUACCCAAUCCCGACACGGGGAGGUAGUGACAAUAAAUACUGAUACAGGGCCCUUUCGGGUCUUGUAAUUGGAAUGAGUACAAUUUAAAUCCAUUAACGAGGAACAAUUGGAGGGCAAGUCUGGU